UAUUGGAAUCUCUAGUUCUAAUGUGAGAAACUGGAAAAUUUCAAGCUUUACAGGUAAUUUUGCAAGGCGUUGCAUCUUUUGAGGGUCACUGGAAGAACAUGCCGUUAGACUUCCUCGCUAAGAGCUGCAGUUGGAAAUGAAUCUGUUAGACGUCUGGCUCUAUUUUGUUUGGUUGACUUUGUGUGAACGUAUUAAUACCUGUAUUCUCUUCUUUAAAUCUUGUGCUGUUUUUGUCCUUUUCUGACUCAAUGUCUACAGACACUUAUUGAGUGCUACACAAAACUCAAAGAACAAGGUGGGACGGUCAACCUCAUGCUCACCGACACCUGGCUCAGGCAUUACCAGGUGUUGCCUGACCGGACACAUCCUCUGCUCCUGAUGAGCGGGGGCGGGGGCUACCUCCUCUCAGGGACCACUGUUGCCACGGACCCAUCCAAACCGGCAGGCUCCCCGCAGGCCGAGGAACCGGCUCCAAAGAGACAAAAAGUGAAAGACUGAGGGAUAAACACACGACGAAGGGUCAGAUCUGUCAGAGGCACGUUGGUGUGACCUGCAAGGAUUUAUUUUCUUCACUCUGUUGAACUGAAGUGACACUAUUGCAGAAAUGAAGACGGGGUGUCUGGUUUGCAUCCAUCAGAGCACCUUCUUCUGUAUUUGUCCUCACAUCAGCUGAGGAGUAAAGUGUAAUCCCAAAACAGGUCAUCUCAGCUCAGUGUGUUCCUUAUGUAAGAGACGGAGGGGAUUUAUUUCUUUAAGAGACAAGUUUGCGUUACAUCCCCUGGCGGCAAUUGUUAAACAUGUUUUUAUUUUAGAGAGUUGUUAUAGAACUCAGUUCCGAAUAAAGAUUUAUUGUAUCUACAUCAGGGUUUGUGCAGGAAAACCAAAUCUCUAAGAAAUGAUGUAUUGUGACCUCUUUUAAUUGUAGAAAUAAAUUCAACUUUCAUUUGG